UAACCAAACAAAAAAAUGAAAUAAUGAAACCCUUCAUUCAUUCUAUUUAUCUCCAACCCAUUCAUCUCAAACAAUUCAUUGCUGUCAAGUCUUCCCAUUCAUCUCCAACCCUUCAUCGGCGUUGAUUCCUCCUAUUCGCUUCCAACUCUUCAUCGAUGUUGAUUCGAUAAACUUCAGUCGGCGCCGCCACUAGUUCUAUCUUACCCUAUUGAAACAUCACUCUAAAUCUCAAUUGCACGAUUCUCAAACCCUAUUGACACAUACCAAUGGUGCCACGAAGAUGGCUAAAGAAGUGUUUAAGUCACUCUUUCAGGAUAAAGAUGUUACUGAGAUGGGAUACCAAUAUAACACUUAGAGUACAAAAAAUAAAAGAUAACAGUAGCUUGGCUUGGCUGUAAGCACUUCUUAUGUUCAAUUGAGUUUAGAUGUGUUAUUCUAAACACAUGGACUUGUACCAUCUUUAAGUCAAGGCCUAGUCAUUAGGAUGAUUUUGGAUUUUAAUGCAUUGUAAUACUCUAUUUAAUUAAUAGCAAAGAGUUCUCUUUUUUUUAAGUGUGUGAAAUAUUCAAUAAGAAUCUAUAUAUUAAUCUUCCAUGAUUUAUAUGUUGAG